rnacentral:rRNA from 1 species
UACGUAGGGUCCGAGCGUUGUCCGGAAUUAUUGGGCGUAAAGGGCUCGUAGGCGGUUAGUCGCGUCGGGAGUGAAAACUCAGGGCUCAACCCUGAGCGUGCUUCCGAUACGGGCUGACUAGAGGUAUGCAGGGGAGAACGGAAUUCCUGGUGUAGCGGUGGAAUGCGCAGAUAUCGAGAGGAACACCUGCGGCGAAGGCGGGUAGCUGGGCCGACACUGACGCUGAGGCGCGAAAGCCAGGGGAGCGAACGGG